rnacentral:snoRNA from 1 species
CCGGAGAUGAUGCAUCAAACAACCGUCUGACCUUCACUGAUGGUGUUUUGUAUUCAUACUGUCUGAUCCAG